GCCGCGUUGGCGUAGUGGUAGCGCGUCUCACUUGUAUCCUUCGUUAAAAUACAUGAGAAGGUCACUCGUUCAAUCCGGGUACGUGGCA
rnacentral:tRNA from 1 species